CGGCAGGUCUUGCACGACCAGCUCCUGUUAAAUCCCCCAGGGUCGGAAGGCAGCAAGGGUAGACGGUCGUAGCGGUGCGAUGCAAGUAGCCUGCCUUUU
rnacentral:SRP_RNA from 1 species